GAUAAGAACGUAGCGAAAUGCGAUAAGUAAUGUGAAUUGCAGAAUUCAGUGAAUCAUCGAAUCUUUGAACGCACAUUGCGCCCGCCAGUAUUCUGGCGGGCAUGCCUGUCCGAGCGUCAUUUCAACCCUCAAGCCCCCGGGCUUGGUGUUGGAGAUCGGCGAGCCCCCCGGGGCGCGCCGUCUCCCAAAUAUAGUGGCGGUCCCGCUGUAGCUUCCUCUGCGUAGUAGCACACCUCGCACUGGGAAACAGCGUGGCCACGCCGUAAAACCCCCCACUUCUGAAAGGUUGACCUCGGAUCAGGUAGGAAUACCCGCUGAACUUAAGCAUAUCAAUAAGCGGAGGA
rnacentral:misc_RNA from 1 species